rnacentral:rRNA from 1 species
CCUACGUGAGGCAGCAGUGAGGAAUAUUGGUCAAUGGGCGCUAGCCUGAACCAGCCAAGUAGCGUGAAGGAUGACUGCCCUACGGGUUGUAAACUUCUUUUAUAAAGGAAUAAAGUGAGGCACGUGUGCCUUUUUGUAUGUACUUUAUGAAUAAGGAUCGGCUAACUCCGUGCCAGCAGCCGCGGUAAUACGGAGGAUCCGAUCGUUAUCCGGAUUUAUUGGGUUUAAAGGGAGCGUAGAUGGGUUGUUAAGUCAGUUGUGAAAGUUUGCGGCUCAACCGUAAAAUUGCAAUUGAUACUGGCAGUCUUGAGGACAGUUGAGGUAGGCGGAAUUCGUGGUGUAGCGGUGAAAUGCUUAGAUAUCACGAAGAACUCCGAUUGCGAAGGCAGCUUACUAAACUGCAACUGACAUUGAUGCUCGAAAGUGUGGGUAUCAAACAGGAUUAGAUACCCUUGUAGUC